rnacentral:lncRNA from 1 species
CCAACCUCUGCAUACUACCCCAGAGAAAGUCAGCUCUCUUCACCGGUGCCUGCAGGAAUCCAUUAAUAUUGUACUUCCAUGGUCCACUUAACUAUGGGCUUAUACAUCUUUGCUUGCUAAGAAGGGAAAGAAUGGAGAAGGAAGCAUCACACUGGAGUGCCCAGGGUCAAUGACAGCUGGAGACCAACAAUGGCAACGAAAACGGGAAGGCUACUGCUUCCAGGAAGAGCUGGUCCUUCUGAGAGCCGAGUCCCUGGAGGCACAAGACUAUCAGGGCCAGAGCAUCUCAGUCAGCAGGGCCUCUGACUGGCAGCCAAGCCAAACACAGCAUCCUGGAUGAUGGCCCUUUUCUGGGAGGCAUGUGGACACUUUUUCCAUGGCCUGGCUCUUCCGGAGCACAGGGCCACGUGAGCCAACUGUUGAGUCCUGCCCAGGUCCAC